rnacentral:misc_RNA from 1 species
AUUGAGAUGAGAAGUUAAUUGUAGGAGACCCUGAACAGAAAAUACUCAACAAUUACAAUAUGAUCGUUGAUAUCUUUCUGACCGUGGCCCAGGUGAUCGUCUUCGUCUAUGAUGUUGUUACCUACCCUGUAUACCAUGCUCUCUCACAACCUUGGAAGAAGGGUAAAGGAGGGAACCCAGCCCCCGUCCCUUACCUAGUUACCUCGUCUAGUGAGGAGGUUCAUUUCAGAAGGGAUAAAAGCAAUGAUAACCCAACCUAUAAGGAGAUCAUUAUUGAAAACAAGGUGGACACUGUGACCAAGGCCUUCAACUACAGUGUGAGGAAGCAUGGGUCGAAGCAGUGCCUCGGCACCAGGGAGGUCCUUGGGGAGGAGGACGAGAUGCAAGAUAACGGCAAGAUGUUUAAAAAGUUGAGCCUGGGAUCCUACCGCUGGAUUUCAUACAACGAAGCUCAUGUUAUCUCAUCAAACUUCGGGAAGGGUCUCCGUGUGCUCGGGGAACAGCCUCAGACGCCGAUUGCCAUCUAUGCAGAGACGAGGGCGGAGUGGAUCAUGUCCGCCUUCGGAGCAUUCUCACAGAGAAUCGUGGUCUCCACCUUGUAUACCAACCUAGGGGACGAGGCUAUUAUCCAUGGACUCAACGAGACAGAGGUUGGCCUGGUGAUUACAAGCCACGAGAUGCUCCCUAAGUUUAAGAACAUGUUGCCCCAGUGUCCUAAAAUUCAUACAAUAGUGUAUCUUGAAGAUCAGCUUUUCCCUACAGAUACAUCAGGGUUCAAGGAGGGUGUUCGAAUCCUGCCGUUUAAAACAGUUGUGAAGAUGGGAGAAGAAUCUAAGCUAGAAGAGAACCAUCCAUCAGCUGAUGAUACCGCCAUUAUCAUGUACACUAGUGGUUCUACCGGGGUACCCAAGGGUGUUGUGUUGACCCAUGAGAACCUAAUCUCCACCUCGACCUGCAUUAUGUUCCUCUCCGGGUUCAACGCUGACGACGUGUACAUAGGUUACCUACCCCUAGCUCAUGUAUUGGAACUACUCUCUGAGUGUACAAUGAUGAUGUUUGGUGUACCAGUAGGAUACUCAUCGCCUAAUACCAUGACAGAUAUGUCCACAAAGGUGAAGCGUGGACAGAAGGGUGACGCCAGCGUAUUAAAGCCGACCAUGAUGUGCGUAGUUCCGUUGAUCUUGGAUAGGAUCUACAAGAACAUCAUUGACAGUGUCAACAAGCGCGGCGUCAACUUUCAGAAAGUUUUCGAGUUUUGCUAUAGAUAUAAGCUGUACUGGACUAGAUCGGGUAGUCAAACACCAAUUGUGGAUAGAAUAGUUUUUAAUAAAAUUAAGGCUCUUCUUGGAGGACGAAUGAGGUUUGCAAUCACAGGUGGAGCUCCUCUCUCACCAGAAACUCAUGAUUUUAUCAGGGUUUGCCUCGGCCUAACUCUAGUGCAAGGAUACAGUAUGACUGAGACCACCUGCUCUGGCACGUGUAUGGAACCUGAGGAUGCUACGACAGGAAAGGUGGGACCUGCCAUGGCGGGGAUGGAGGUGAAGCUCAUCAACUGGGAGGAAGGGAACUACAGGGUCACAGACAAACCGUUCCCACGUGGAGAAAUCUUAAUUGGCGGGAAAUCUGUUGCUAAGGGAUAUUUUAAGAACGAUGAACUUACAAAGGAGGAUUUCUCUAUUGAAAACGGAAAAAGAUGGUUUAAGUCUGGAGAUAUUGGGGAGAUGGAUCGGGACGGAGUGCUCAGGAUCAUUGAUCGUAAGAAGGAUCUUGUUAAACUACAACUCGGAGAAUAUGUCUCACUAGGUAAAGUUGAAUCCCAGCUGAAGACCCAUCCCCUGGUUGAGAACAUUUGUGUGUACGGGGAUAGUCUGCAAUAUCACACGGUUGCCAUCAUGGUCCCGAUCAAGAACGCUCUGGAGAAGCUGGCCACUGAGCUCGGUAAGACGGAGAUGAACUAUGAGCGGCUCUGCAAGGAUAAUGACGUCAUUCAGGCCGUAUUGAAGACCUUAUCUCUACACGGAAAGAAAACAAACCUGGAGAGGUUUGAGAUCCCAACCAGGAUAACCCUUGAACCUGAACCCUGGACCCCGGAGUCAGGCCUGGUCACCGCAGCCUUCAAACUCAAGCGGAAAGUAAUCCAAACAAUGUUUCAGCCCUCCAUUGAUCUAAUGUACUCAGAUAUGGUUUAAACUUUUUGUGAUGUUAGAAUAUUAUUGAAUUAGUUACGUGAAUCCCUGAGAAUUAUUUACAGGUCACAUUUGGAAUUCGGCGGUGUAUUUAAAUUCAAUUGUGAAAUAUAUAAUUAUAUAAAAUUCA